rnacentral:tRNA from 1 species
ACGACGAUGGCGGACGCGACUAGCGCGCGGUCGUCCGGUGGCCGCGAGCAGGUAUCGGAGCGUACGCGCGCUCAAUGCGCAUUCGACGUU